UGGUCGGGGAGAGAAGCGCCGUCCUCAGAGGUCAUAAAACUGGGGAGGGAACAAAAUAACCUUCAGUUUCCAUCGCCUCGCCUUAGAUAUAAUUGGAAGACAGGCCACCUAUGCUUUUGAACUGACAUAUGCUGCUCUGCAUCCAAGGCCAGUACACUGAGGCAAAGUUGAACAAACGUUAGUGAAGGCUGGCCCUCUGUUCCUCCGAUGCUGACCUUGUACUUCUCCCUUGCAGCCUUUGCCCAAGGAGCCGUCGUAGGAUGUGGAGAACACGGCAAUGUCAUCGGCAUCCUGCUACAAAAAAUACUGAGGCCAAUCACUAAACCAGAACAUUGUGUCCAUUCUCUUAUGAGACUCUCAAACUUUACAACAGGUUUUAACCUUCAGUAAAAACAAAUAUGUAUAAAAAAACUAGCAGAUAUUUCUGAGAAUUCUGAGAAGUCUCCAGUGAGAGGCAUGGUACACCAUCGGCUUUGAAUCUUCACCGCGAACCCUUGGACACGUCAUAGAACAAAAUCCCUGUGAGGAACUUUCAUCAACGGGACGUGGAAUAAUUGACUCAUUCAUUACAUUGACUUUUUGUUGCCCUUGAUAUCCAACAUUAGGUCUGCAGGGGACGCCUCCUUGAAGAUUUUUCGUACCUUUGUGGCUUGAUCUGGACCUUUCAGAAGGUCUUUCAGAAGUCGGCCCCUUCUUCUUAUUAACUAUCUCGAUACGAAGCCGUCCAGUGUUAUAUUCCAGCCAAGUUUUGUCAAUGACAGCUUGCUGCUAAAGACACUUUUAUGAGGUUGAGCCAGACUGUAUUGCCCACUGGAUUCUCUCACUCAUUUAGCUGGGUAAGACUUUGCACUGCAUACACACAUCACGGAACAAAGUCUAUUGGAAUGUCCCAGAAGAGACGACGGAGAUGAGUUGACUGUCUUGAGUGCCAAAUGUGGACAUUUUGGACAACUUAGCGUAUAACUUAUGUUUUUUAUGUGGUGCCAACAUAGAGUAGAAUAGUAGUUUUUGUCAAUGAACCUCACACAUCCUGGACACACACCACCGGGAGCAUUCAGCAGAUGUGGACCCCUGGCUCGUUUUAAUGGUCUAAACCUGCGUGUGUGCAUGUUUGCAUCUCUCAAUGUGUGAAUAUGUAUGUGUGAGUCUGCGUGCACAUCCAGAGGAACACUGUUAAAUAAGUCGUAUCCAAUGCAUUAUUCAUACCCUUGUAUAUUUUUGGGACACGCCCAGUCCAGAGCUCACCAUCUGGCCGGAGAACAAUGUGUGAUUUUACAGAUUCUGGAUCUCAUUUGAAUGUUCAAGGUUGAAUCCUGUGUUUGACUUUAUUUUGUGUCUUUUUUUUGUGUGUUUCUUUAGUACAUAGAGAUAUUUAUGAUGGGGGGGGAUAUAAUUGAAACUAGGGAAAGAGCUGCAGUAUGUCACACAAAUUAAAUUCUGUAAUUAAAAUCAAUUCAUGCGUGAUUAAAUGUAUUCAGAAUCCUUGUCUAAAUUGACUAUAUUUUGAUAUGAAAUGUUUUGGCCAGCUGGACGUGCUAUUUGCUGGUUUCAGAUGCCUGAUAUACUUGAAAGGAUUUGUGUAAAUAUAUAUAUAGAGAUUAAAUUAAUGUGUUUUAUGUUCUGUGGGUCUCAUCUCAGGAGCACAAGAGGCAUUCUUCUGCAAGAGGUGGACACAAUAACAUGAACACCAGUAAGAUAUCUCAAAAAAUAAAACGCAAUACUACAAUGUGUAUGAAGAUUAAUGUACAUCCUAAAGUGAAACAAUAUAUCUGUUAGUCUUCCAAAGAUAACAAUAGAUUGCAUAAUAUUUUACUGGUGUUUGUCAGUAUGUCGUCACCCUGUUUUUCUUUUUCUUUUCUUUGUACUAAAACAUUAUGUACAUCUCCAUCUUAAUGUAUGCAUUUGAGGAUAUAAAGAGAGCGUCCGCUCCCGAGAGCUGCAGAGUGUGUAUUUAGUGUGUGAGUGUGUAUGUAAGAGGGUUUUUCAGGUCAACAUUGGUUUGUGUUGUAAGAAAAUGGCAAUUUCCACCUGAUCCCAUACCUUUGAUUUCAUGUUUGCUUCUCUGGUUUGAACUCACCGUGAAUGAAUUGUCCCUUUUUGAUUUGAGACACUUUAAUGAAGUCAAAUUCAGCAGGGCAGUGGCAGAUUAGUAACAACAAAUAUAUGGACCUCUACUUGUGUUAAAUAUCAAUAUGAUGUGCAUUUAUAACAGCACAUAUCAUCAAACUAAGUUCUGCAAGCACUGCACUGCUGACUCUCGGAGGGAGUGUCAUGACUAGAAAUGCCUUUUAUGGUCCUCAAACGUCUAUAUAAAUAUGUUAUACUUUUAAGCUUAGCUUGAACUACAAUACCACAGGCCAAUUAUUUCCAAAACAGGGACAGAGCAAAAGUAUCCGAGACAAACGAACAACGUUUUCUUGUGAAGAGUAAAAUGAAACAGGGUAACACUUUCUGUCAAUCCCAUGUGUAUGAUGUAUUAUAAUGUAGACUACUGCAUAAUGCAUUUAAACAGCAUAUUACAUUGCAUAGUUGCCUCAUGCCUUCAUGUAAGGGAUAAUCCACAAUGUGGCGUGCAGUAAUUGAAGAAUAACACACAGAGGGCUGGAAGUAAUACUGUAUAUCACACACAGUGUCUUGCAUUAUAUUUUACAACUGCACAAUGUAUCGUGGAUUUUACUACCACUUGUACCAUUGCCGUACUUAAACAAAAAUCUUGGUUCACCUUAAAAUAAUCUUGGAAUAAACCCAAUUGUACUACUCUUAACAUGAAGGAGAAGCCACUAGGAACCACUUCCAAACAGGCCAAUUAUACCUUCAUUUUGUCUAUAGCCAUUUCAUAAAAAUGUGGUAAUUUAAUGAUUAUAAAGUUUGCUUUACUCCAUUUGCAAUGACAUUGAAAUUUUUCAUUUAAAUGGUGAUCGUGUUUGUGUUGUUUGGGAACACUUUUAACACUGGUUAAUUAACCAUAAGAGAAGAUAGCAUAACCUUUACUCAUUCGGAGCAAAGCUGGCGAGAAGACAUUCUUACUUUGGUUUAGAUUAAUCGACUUUUAAAGAUAUUCACUAGAAACUAACAAAAGAGGAAAAAACAAAUGCCAACUAUGCUUUUGUGUAACAUUAUCAAUGCUUGGUACAGCUUUCUAAGGACAUAACAGAAAUAUUUGAUGUAAGAAAGGUGAGAAUCCAGCCUGCAUCGUGGCUGUAGAACGUCUGUGUCCUGUGCCAGUAUUCCCACUCAACUCCUACUCGGUUAGAGAUGUUCUCUCAACGAGUCCCGGCUGCUGCCCCCUUUCAUUUUGAAUGUCUGUCUUGCUGUUCUCUGGGUUUUUAAUGUGGGCUGCAGUCAGGAUCAACAAAUGCUACGAAGGUGGUGUGAGCUGAAAGGGCUGAGCUGUCAUAGCACGCUAUGAGCAAACUUUAGGUACACAGUAAGAAACAUAAUUGUCUUUAGACCUCAUUGUUAUCUCUGAUGCAAAUACGGAGAUUUAGUAGCGGUAAUACCUGAACUUAUAAACAUUAUUUUUGUAAUGCCUUAUGACUUUAUGGAAAACAUACAUUAGGUUGAAAACACUUAGAAUGUCUGAUGCAUCAUACAUGAACAGAUUUUAGGGGCAUUAUAGCACUUUUUUCCUUUUAUUUACAAAAAAAUUCCUCAAACGAAGCGUGAACUUACUGGUUAGAGAAGUAAACCCAAUGUGGGAGUGCCUAAAACCUGCAUUCUCUCUAAUAUCCAGCAGGUGGCGACUCCUUGGUCUAAGAACAAGUCUGUUUGCAAAGUAUAGAAGUCUAUGAGAAAAUGCCCCUACCUUUCACUUGAUUUAUCACAUUGGUUAUUAUUAUAAAGAUAAGUUCAUGGUCACAAUCACUAUAUUUUGGGUGCAGCGUAUAUGUAAGGAGCUAGGUCACAAACAGCUGUUAUGUCGGUAGUUCUUUGAAAUUAUAGCAGCCUUAACCCUAACCCUAAAUUAUCUUCAGUGUUUGUUGUAAUACACCCACUGGUUUCAUGUAUGGUCACAAAAGAAAAACAGAAGGCCACAGCUAAAACCCCAAACUGAUUAUUCCUGGAGAAAUAAUUGAGAAAAUACAACAAUAACCAAGUAGCAUUUGUGUUGUAAAUGUUCAUUAAAAGAGUACUGUUUGUUCUUAUAUGUUUUAGAAUUGUGGAUGGAUAGACACAGCAAAUUGUGGUAUGGGAGCAGAAUUUCAACUGAAAAUACAGAGUCUGUAUGAGAGCUACACGCUUUCUCAAUUUUAACAGUUUGAGUCAUGCAACAUAAUAACACCUGACAUCCGAUUGGCUCCUGUCUUACAGGGUGCUUUUCUGUUUUCAAGUAACUGUUGAAAAGUAAUUGAGUCUGUCUACAUGUCUACACCUGUAGGAUGUCUUUGCCCUGUUCAAUAAAACCUUCAGGUGCAAGAUGGA